UACGAAGGGGGCGAGCGUUGUUCGGAUUUACUGGGCGUAAAGGGCGCGUAGGCGGCCUGGCAAGUCGAUGGUGAAAGCCCGUGGCUCAACUACGGGUCGGCCAUUGAUACUGCUAGGCUCGAGUCGACUAGAGGCAGAUGGAAUUCCGGGUGUAGCGGUGGAAUGCGUAGAGAUCCGGAAGAACACCGGUGGCGAAGGCGGUCUGCUGGGGUCGAACUGACGCUGAGGCGCGACAGCGUGGGGAGCAAACAGG
rnacentral:rRNA from 1 species